GUACGCUGGCGGCACGCCUAACACAUGCAAGUCGAACGCAGUAGCAAUACUGAGUGGCAAACGGGUGAGUAAUAUGUGGGAAUCUGCCUUUUGGUUUGGAAUAACACGGGGAAACUUGUGCUAAUACCGAAUAAGCCCUUACGGGGAAAGUUUUAACGCCGAAAGAUGAGCCCGCACUUGAUUAGCUAGUUGGUAAGGUAAAAGCUUACCAAGGCAACGAUCAAUAGCUGUUCUUAGAGGAAGACCAGCCACAUUGGGACUGAGACACGGCCCAGACUCCUACGGGAGGCAGCAGUGGGGAAUCUUGCACAAUGGGGGAAACCCUGAUGCAGCGAUGCCGCGUGAGUGAAGAAGGCCCUUGGGUUGUAAAACUCUUUCGUCGGGGAAGAAAAUGACUGUACC
rnacentral:rRNA from 1 species